rnacentral:tRNA from 1 species
AAUAGAGUGGCUGAGUUAUUAAGCAGAAGAUUGUAGCUCUUCUAACGGGUUAGUCCCCUCUAUUA